rnacentral:rRNA from 1 species
CAGUAGCCGCGGGAAUACGUAGGGUGCGAGCGUUAAUCGGAAUUACUGGGCGUAAAGCGUGCGCAGGCGGUUGUGUAAGACAGGUGUGAAAUCCCCGGGCUUAACCUGGGAACUGCGCUUGUGACUGCACAGCUAGAGUAUGGCAGAGGGGGGUGGAAUUCCACGUGUAGCAGUGAAAUGCGUAGAGAUGAGGAGGAACACCGAUGGCGAAGGCAGCCCCCUGGGCCAAUACUGACGCCCAUGCACGAAAGCGUGGGGAGCAAACAGGAUUAGAUACCCCUGUAGUCCCUGUCUCUUAUAC